UUUUGUUUCACCAAAGCCAGCUGCCUCUGCAUUCUUUUCAUUUUUCUUCUGCUCGAGCAAUCUCCUCUCCUUGAAUGAAUCGCUUCUAUCUUCUUCCAUUUUUCUUUUCCUUCACAACUCCACUACCAGCUGCCGUCUCCACCGAUUUUCCUGCAACGGCCACACGUCCAUCUCCUUCUUCCACCGAGUCAAACUUCCUAGCAAAACCCACGAAGUUGACUUCACCUUCGUCUUCACUGCUUCGUGCCCCAUUUCUCCUCACUUUCGCCAGCGACACCACUAGUAGCACUCUCCACUGCUAGCACUUUUCUUCCUAUUGCUUUGUUUGUAGCCACAUGUCCCCACCCCGGCAUCCACACCUCCAUCGUUCCUCCAUGCUAGCCCCAACGAUUAGUCACCGAAGCCAACCGUAGCUCCCUCAAUCCUUGCGUCGCUACAACUCAGCCAGCAGCCGUGUCCCCACCAAGUUGCCACCGCAUGCUACAGCUCCGAUCAUUUGAGCCAAGCCGUGACCAACAACCCUCUUCAAGACUAAUAGCAAUCGUGAGCCUCGCGGGCCAUUUUUCGGCCAGGUCCAAGCCUCUUUUGGCGCCGCCAUAAGCCCAAGUUUCAGCCAUCGUCGUGAACCAGUUUUUGCACUAAACUGGUGAGUUUACUUUCUAAACUCUGCUUAUGGAGUUAAUGAUGCUAUAAGGGUAAUUAACUUAGGUUAAUUAGGGUUUAUGUGGUUUGUUAGAAUGUAUUAUUGAUUUAAUUAUUUAAUUGUGCAUGUUAGAUGGUUAGAAUAGCCUAAGUAGAGACUAGAUAAGUUGUACUAUUUAUCUAGAUAGAUUCGAAAAUUUUCCCAACCCGUUCGGGUGGUUAAUUAAGCAUUUUCGGCCUAAGUGGGUAUUUUUGGUAAUUAAAUGUAUUUAUUUAAUUAUUUUGGUAUUUAUUUAAUUAUUUAUCAUUUCCGAAAAUUAUACUGGAAUAGCCGGUAACCGGAAUUUCGUGCUAAUUGCAAUGGUAUGCUUAAUUUGUGCAAUUGAAUAAUAUAUUGUGCAAAUUGAAUGAAAAUUGUAAUUUUGGGUAUUUAUCUCAAAAUUGUGUAAUUUUGGUAUUUUAUUCAGAAAAUAUUGGGCGUCGAUUUUUAACGCCAAAAAUAUUUUUAGGCACAAUAAUAAAUAGUGGGAUUUUUAAAAAGGAAGAUAUAGUAUUUUUGGCUCAAAUUGAUCGUGUACCCACACACAAUAAUUUUUAUUUGGCGUUUUUAAUACGAAGAAAAUAUGUCAAGUCGUUAUUUUAAUUGAGGAAUUUGUGCGCAAAGCGUGUGAUGGUUUAUUGUCAUCGCAAGGUGACAAGUGAGAGAUGAAGUGACAUAGGUUGUGUUGAGGGCACUUGAUGGGUUGUGAGCUGGUAAAGAACUAAGUACUACACGAUAAUGAAAUCUCGUCUAAAUCACCUCUAGUACCUUAUACCAUUACUUAUAGUAGUCAAGGUCCAAGUGUUACAUGGUGACUUAAGUCACAUGGGAGCCACCUCUAGAAGUCUUGCAAUAUCGUCAUGCAUAGUAAAUGGGCUAAGUGUUACACGAUAGUGAGAUUUUGUGUGAGUUACCUUUAGAACCUUGUACUAGUGUUUUUUUAUAGUCAAGAACUAAGUAUUACACGAUAGUGUGAUUUCGUGGGAGUCACCUUUAGUACCUUGAGCUAUUGCUUAGUAUAGUCAGGAACUAAGUGCUAUACGACAGUGUGAAUUUGUGGGAGCCAUCUCUAGUACCUCGUACUAUGAUUGAUUGUGGUUAGGGACUAAGUGCUAUGCGAUGUCGGAACUUCGUGGGGAGAGAGCACCUCUAGAACCUUGAGCUUGGUAUUGAGUAUUGAGUCAAAAUAUUGAGUGAGGAUAUUGAGGUUGGAUUGAGAAUUUGAAUAUUGAGAGUGAAUAUCGGGUGUGGAUAGAACCACCGAUAUGAGUUGUUCGCGCCUGAUUAAGGGAAGAAAUUAUGUGAUACGGUAUGAGACAUAUCAUAACGAUUUGGCAUUAUAAUCGGGACCCUCAUGAGCGAUUGUUUGAUUGAAUGAUGGAUCGAUUGUAUUGAUUCAAUUGAUUGAUUGAUUGAUUGACUAAGAUUAAAAUGAGAAGUUCCAAAUGCUUGAGUAUUGUUACUGCACUUAUGUGAUAUAUGAAUUAUGUUAAUAUGUAGGAGGGACUUGAGGCGAGGUAUGUCUUAUGUAUUGUGUACAUAGAUUGCCUCUAGAUGUAUUUUCUUCCUAGUCGGGAUUUAUUGGGUGAAUUUGUUGAGACAUUGUUUCACCCUGUUGUGGGUUACCAUUUUCAGGUCUCUAAUGUGAAGAACCUAGAGCUUGAGGAGGAAGGGUCAGGAGCAUGGGUGGCUUAGAAGUUCUUUUUGGAGAUAGACUUCAUGUACUUAGACUCUAGAGUUGGC
rnacentral:lncRNA from 1 species